rnacentral:rRNA from 1 species
AGAGUUUGAUCCUGGCUCAGGAUGAACGCUGGCGGCGUGCUUAACACAUGCAAGUCGAACGAAGCGUAUUCAAGUGAAGUUUUCGGACAAAGCGAGGAUAUGACUUAGUGGCGGACGGGUGAGUAACGCGUGGGCAACCUGCCUUUCACAGCGGGAUAACAGAGGGAAGCUUCUGCUAAUACCGCAUAUACCUUUAUAACGCAUGUUAGGGAGGGGAAAGAAUUAUCGGUGAGAGAUGGGCCCGCGUCCGAUUAGAUAGUUGGUGGGGUAACAGCCUACCAAGUCGACGAUCGGUAGCCGGCUUGAGAGAGUGAACGGCCACAUUGGGACUGAGACACGGCCCAAACUCCUACGGGAGGCAGCAGUGGGGAAUAUUGGACAAUGGGGGCAACCCUGAUCCAGCGACGCCGCGUGAGUGAAGAAGUAUUUCGGUAUGUAAAGCUCUAUCAGCAGGGAAGAUGAUGACGGUACCUGACUAAGAAGCCCCGGCUAACUACGUGCCAGCAGCCGCGGUAAUACGUAGGGGGCAAGCGUUAUCCGGAUUUACUGGGUGUAAAGGGAGCGUAGACGGCAUAUAAAGUCUGAAGUGAAAACCCGCAGCUCAACUGCGGAGUUGCUUUGGAAACUUAUAAGCUGGAGUGUCGGAGGGGUAAGCGGAAUUCCCAGUGUAGCGGUGAAAUGCGUAGAUAUUGGGAGGAACACCGGCGGCGAAGGCGGCUUACUGGACGACAACUGACGUUGAGGCUCGAAGGCGUGGGUAGCAAACAGGAUUAGAUACCCUGGUAGUCCACGCAGUAAACGAUGAAUACUAGGUGUCGGGAGGGAAUAACCUUUUCGGUGCCGUCGCAAACGCAAUAAGUAUUCCACCUGGGGAGUACGUUCGCAAGAAUGAAACUCAAAGGAAUUGACGGGGACCCGCACAAGCGGUGGAGCAUGU